CAGGCAGACUUUGCAGUGCCUCUGUGUGUGACUGCCUUCGCCAGCAGUUUGAGGGACUUCGCAGGGAAAAGGCCGUGCAGUGAGGCGUAGGGGAUUGUGUGCAGCAGGACGACACCUCUCUCAUUAGGUGGUCCACCUUCCCUGUGGCCGACAUGGUUGCUGUAUGGACAGUGGAGAGGACACAGACCUUUCGGUUUUCAUGCCACUUUACUGCCAGCUGUUGACCCUUCUAUUUGAACCUUCCCUCUCUGCAUCUUCCUGCCUCCGAAUGCUGGCAUCCCCUUCCUGUUCGACCUGACUGUGACACAAGCCCUGUGCUGUUGGAGAGGAGAUGCUGGAAGAGUGUGGGACUGCUGUACCAAUUGUCCACAUACAAAGUGUGUCCCUUGUCGAGAUGAGGAGCCAGCAUGGUCAUCACCACGGACCCGGACACUCCAAGCCCCUCAUAAUGUUGGAUGUCAGUGGUGGACCCUGUGUAAACUAUAAUGUAAUGGACAAAUCCUGUCACGUCGCACGUAACAAAGAACUUGACCCCAAACCUGUGGGUUUUGGAGGGAAUAUCUUGCCAGCCUACCCUUCCAUAACAUCAGGGACUCAUCAAUGCAUGCGUCCUUGUAUGGCACAAAGACCCAACCAAAUGCUGAUGUCAGGCUGGUUCAAGGUAUAGUGAUUGGUCUCCUCUACUAUGUCUACCACCAGCUCCUCUGUCAGAAAGCUUGAAACACACUGCCUCAGAGAGAAAUGGCAAGUGGCUUUGUACUCCAGACUGGGACUCAUCAACGCAAACAGCAGGGCCCGGAGGGGUGAAAUGGCUGGCAGCCUUCCAGCUUCCACAGAACUCCUGUACUUCAUCCACUGUCGGUCUGCAUCCAUCACCACCAGCAUCUUCAAAGGGACCUGGAUCUUCGGCAGUGGACAAGUGGUCCUCAGAUUUAGGGUUCUCAAUGGCUACAAGGUUGGGGUGCUCACUGUCAUUGUCAGAAUCUGAUUCCUUACUUUCAUUCUCAGACUCAUUGUCAUAAUUUAUGAUCAUCUCCAGAAUUACUGUAUUUGUGAGUUGUGUCCUUUUGAAAGUCAUUGCUAAUGCUCUAGCUUAGCACACUAGCUAGAUACAUAAACAACAACACUGAAUGGCUCAGGGUGGGUGUCAGAGGUUAUGUGAUUGACUGCUGGCACGCUCCACUUGUAUCAAUAAGUCACUAUCAGAAAAUGUUUUGUUUUGGUCAAUAUUUACUGUUUUAUUCACGUUUAAGUACUGGUGACAAAUCAUGAAUUCCGAUUCUUGCAUAGAUUGUAAUGGACACAUACGUAUGACGUGUUUAAAUACUUUUUAAAAGUUUGUACUGAUUAUGAUGAGCUAAGCUAAUUCCAGCUAUGUGUGGAGCCAUGUCUGUUGACACACAAUGCAUUCUGGGUUUCACAUAAAUGUCUGUCAGACCAAAGAUGUUAUAACAACAUGAAGUGAGGGAGGGUUCACUCAUAUUUCGAGUAAACUUCCGGAAGCGAAUGAUGGGAUGUGAAUAAUGGUAGACGACACAGCCCCUUCAACAUGCAUUCUGCAAACAGACCAAACUCAUCUUGUCUCAUCUUAUUAUCUUUGGUUCAAGUGAAAAAACAAACUUGGCGGCGCGCACUAACUACCCAUCGUCGGAUUACUUUUGAUUUCUAGAAAGUAUUUUACUCAAUUAUUUCAAUCAAUGUUGAGCUCACCCGUGAUGAGACGAAUUAUACAUAUAAUUGCUAUUAGCUAAUUCACAUUGUGGUUUCUUUCAGCCGAAAGUUAUCUAAAUAUGAUCGCUUGUGUUAUGUCAAUCUUUCCUCAGUUCCCGAGGACUAAUGAACCUACAUUUUCCAGUUUGGAUGAUGGUGUUAUGCUGUAGCUACUUCUGUGAAGGUCUGAACAUUGGAUCCAAAAAUAAAUCUUGUCACAUUCAGGACAUAA